GACAGAGGAUGCAAGCGUUGUCCGGAAUUAUUGGGCGUAAAGAGCUUGUAGGUGGUUUGUCGCGUCUGCUGUGAAAAUCCGAGGCUCAACCUCGGACUUGCAGUGGGUACGGGCAGACUAGAGUGCGGUAGGGGAGAUUGGAAUUCCUGGUGUAGCGGUGGAAUGCGCAGAUAUCAGGAGGAACACCGAUGCGAAGGCAGAUCUCUGGGCCGUAACUGACGCUGAGGAGCGAAAGCGUGGGGAGCGAACAGG
rnacentral:rRNA from 1 species